rnacentral:rRNA from 2 species
GUUAGAGAAGAACGUGCGUGAGAGCAACUGUUCACGCAGUGACGGUAUCUAACCAGAAAGUCACGGCUAACUACGUGCCAGCAGCCGCGGUAAUACGUAGGUGGCAAGCGUUAUCCGGAUUUAUUGGGCGUAAAGCGAGCGCAGGCGGUUUGAUAAGUCUGAUGUGAAAGCCUUUGGCUUAACCAAAGAAGUGCAUCGGAAACUGUCAGACUUGAGUGCAGAAGAGGACAGUGGAACUCCAUGUGUAGCGGUGGAAUGCGUAGAUAUAUGGAAGAACACCAGUGGCGAAGGCGGCUGUCUGGUCUGCAACUGACGCUGAGGCUCGAAAGCAUGGGUAGCGAACAGGAUUAGAUACCCUGGUAGUCCAUGCCGUAAACGAUGAGUGCUAGGUGUUGGAGGGUUUCCGCCCUUCAGUGCCGCAGCUAACGCAUUAAGCACUCCGCCUGGGGAGUACGACCGCAAGGUUGAAACUCAAAGGAAUUGACGGGGGCCCGCACAAGCGGUGGAGCAUGUGGUUUAAUUCGAAGCUACGCGAAGAACCUUACCAGGUCUUGACAUCUUGCGCCAACCCUAGAGAUAGGGCGUUUCCUUCGGGAACGCAAUGACAGGUGGUGCAUGGUCGUCGUCAGCUCGUGUCGUGAGAUGUUGGGUUAAGUCCCGCAACGAGCGCAACCCUUGUUACUAGUUGCCAGCAUUCAGUUGGGCACUCUAGUGAGACUGCCGGUGACAAACCGGAGGAAGGUGGGGACGACGUCAGAUCAUCAUGCCCCUUAUGACCUGGGCUACACACGUGCUACAAUGGACGGUACAACGAGUCGCGAACUCGCGAGGGCAAGCUAAUCUCUUAAAACCGUUCUCAGUUCGGACUGCAGGCUGCAACUCGCCUGCACGAAGUCGGAAUCGCUAGUAAUCGCGGAUCAGCAUGCCGCGGUGAAUACGUUCCCGGGCCUUGUACACACCGCCCGUCACACCAUGAGAGUUUGCAACACCCAAAGUCGGUG